GAAGCAUCUCUCCAGCAAUCUUUUUUUCUUGUACAUCUUUGGAAAGCUUGUUGAAGAAGAAGAAGGAAACUUUGGUUUGUGGCUGUCCUACUUGUUCACUGGUGUUGGAGCUAACCUUGUUUCCUGGUUAGUUUUACCGAGAAAUGCUGUUUCUGUUGGUGCCUCGGGAGCUGUUUUUGGGUUAUUUGCUAUCAGUGUCCUUGUCAAGCUGUCUUGGGAUUGGAGGAAAAUCCUUGAAGUUCUUAUAUUGGGCCAGUUCGUUAUUGACAGGGUAAUGGAAGCAGCUCAGGCUUCGGCUGGAUUAUCAGGAACUAUAUAUGGUGGCUAUUCUUUACAGACUGUUAAUCACAUUGCUCAUCUCUCUGGUGCUCUCGUUGGCGUUGUCUUAGUUUGGCUUCUCAGCAAAUUUCCUUCGGAACCUGUGGAUCAUCAAGUUAAAAAAUCCCCCUUAAAAUGAAGAGACAACGUUCUUGUACUUUAAGGAAACAUAUACUAUCUCGCCUGUGAAUGCAUGGCAGAUGAAACGAUCGAUUGAUUGACAAAAUAUGUCCUUGUAAAACUGAAGAAUGGGCACUAAACCGGGAUCUCUGUCCCUAUUAUCAGGCAUAAAAAAACAAAAGUUUUAGCAGAUGAAUAUCAUGGCCCGUAGGUAUGAUUCAUA